AUGUUCACUGUGGCGGCAUAAAUACUAGAAUUGGAAUGAUAUGGAGCAGAUUAGCAUGACCCCUGUGCAAAAUAGGAAAGUGACAGAAACCUUU
rnacentral:snRNA from 1 species